rnacentral:rRNA from 1 species
CCAAGGUCUGGGGACGGUGCGCGGUAGGACGUGGGGGGGGAGCGUUGGCGUGGUUCAUUGGGCGGCGAGGGCUGGGGGGCGGGUCAGUAAGUCAGGUGUGAAAUCUCCGCGCUCAACGCGGGGCGGCCACCGGAUACUGCGGUGACUCGAGUCCGGUAGGGGGGUGUGGAAUUCCCGGUGUAGCGGUGAAAUGCGCAGAUAUCGGGAGGAACACCAGUAGCGAAGGCGGCACUCUGGGCCGUGACUGACGCUGAGGAGCGAAAGCGUGGGUAGCAAACAGGAUUAGAUACCCCGGUAGUC